AUCUUCCACAAUGGACGGAAGUCUGAUGGAGCAACGCCGCGUGAGCGAAGAAGGUUUUCGGAUCGUAAAGCUCUGUUGUAAGGGAAGAACACGUACGGGAGUCACUGCCCGUACCUUGACGGUACCUUAUCAGAAAGCCACGGCUAACUACGUGCCAGCAGCCUCGGUAAUACGUAGUUGGCAAAAGUUGUCCGGAAUUAUUGGGCGUAAAGCGCGCGCGGACGCUCCUUUAGGUCUGAUAUGUAAGCCCACGGCUCAACCGUGGAGAUUCAUUGGAAACUGGAGGACUUGAGUACAGAAGAGGAAAGCGGAAUUCCACGUGUAGCGGUGAAAUGCUUAGAGAUGUGGAGGAACACCAGUGGCGAAGGCGGCUUUCUGGUCUGUAACUGACGCUGAGGCGCGAAAGCGUGGGGAGCAAACA
rnacentral:rRNA from 1 species